rnacentral:tRNA from 2 species
GCGAGAGUGGCGGAACUGGUAGACGCACUGGCCUUAGGAGCCAGCGCCUUAGGUGUGGGGGUUCGACUCCCCCCUCUCGCACCA